AAGGGAGACCUAAUUCGGGUAGAAGACGAAAAAAUAGUAGUCGAAACCAAGAAUCAAUCCCAAAAGGUCGAAGCGAGGCAAGAUUGGCUUUCAAACUAGGUUCUGGGUUCAAACAAGACCUGAAUCAGGAACAAGGGCUAUUAGCUCAGGUGGUUAGAGCGCACCCCUGAUAAGGGUGAGGUCCCUGGUUCGAGUCCAGGAUGGCCCACCUGUACAGGUGGCAAAAAGAAAGAAAAGAAGCGAGGAAUCAGCACCUUAUCUUACUGACAUAGUAAGAGAGAAUGCUGGCUCUGAGUAAAGAGUCCAGAGGAACCUUGAAAACUGCAUAGAGCUAGGUGAAAAAGCCAAAAAAGAAGACCGCAA
rnacentral:tRNA from 1 species